UUCAGAUGUCUACAAAUACCCAUAAGGGAGAGGAAGUCCCGCUUGCAGACCACAGGAGUUUGGCCUGCCGAUGUGGGCAACAGGCCAGCUCUGAGGCAGAGGUGGUAUGAUCUCUUUCAGCAGAUAGAGAAUUUUGCAAUAAAUGUCCGUGGACAACUCUGCUUGGGGGGGCUUCAGCGAUGCAUGGAUUUCACCCCCAGAUAGGUUUCUCUACCAGUAGACAUUUUGAGCCAGCACCUACAGCUCCGCCAGCGCCUGUGUCUUUGUCUGCUGUUCAGACUCCUCCAUGGAGGAAGGCGUUGAACUUGUCGAUGUUCAAUAAGCAAAGGAUUUGUGGGCUCUCAUGUGUCUGCAGCAAGACCAAACUGUAACUUGGCAUGGAAGCCUGCUCAGAUAAAUAAAAUAAAGGCUAACCUGUCAAAAGCUUGCAUGAUGUGCCUAUGAAGCCUGUUCAGCCCCUCUCCAGCCCUGCUAAGGACCUCUGUGAAGACUACCUCCCCUUUCUCCCGGCCCCUCUCCAGCCCUGCUAAGGACCUCUGUGAAGACCACCUCCCUUUUCUCCCGGCCCCUCUCCAGUCCUGCUAAGGACCUCUGUGAAGACCACCUCCCCUUUCUCCCGGCCCCUCUCCAGUCCUGCUAAGGACCUCUGUGAAGACCACCUCCCCUUUCUCCCGGCCCCUCUCCAGUCCUGCUUAAGGACCUCUGUGAAGACCACCUCCCCUUUCUCCCGGCCCCUCUCCAGCCCUGCUAAGGACCUCUGUGAAGACCACCUCUCCUUUCUCCCAGACCCCUCUGCUACAGCCUAUAUGAAGACCACCACUGCCUCUGCUGUCUCUCAGGGCUCCGCCAGCUCUGCUAGAGCCUCUAAAUGCUCUCCUCUGCUAUAGCCUCGAAGAGGAACCUCAGUAAUUACCAUUUUGUCAUUUCUUAAUUAAUAUCAUUACAUCCAUUAAAA